UACGUAGGGGGCAAGCGUUGUCCGGAAUCAUUGGGCGUAAAGAGCGCGUAGGCGGUCCGGUAAGUCAGCUGUGAAAGUCAAGGGCUCAACCCUUGAAAGCCGGUUGAUACUGUCGGGCUAGAGUCCGGAAGAGGCGAGUGGAAUUCCCGGUGUAGCGGUGAAAUGCGCAGAUAUCGGGAGGAACACCAAUGGCGAAGGCAGCUCGCUGGGACGGUACUGACGCUGAGGCGCGAAAGUGUGGGGAGCGAACGAG
rnacentral:rRNA from 1 species